rnacentral:lncRNA from 1 species
AAAGAAAGGGAAGAAAAUGUCCAACAGUGUGACAGCAAACCCAAGAAAGGAGGUUCUGCCCAAAUUGCAUUUAAAUUCUGAUAAAUCAGAAUUUAAUUACAGAGUAUUUUCUAAUAAGUGCUAGAGAGUUGAUCGAGUCCUCAUGUGGAUCAACGUUGGAGGGUGAACACGUGGGCACCUGGUGGAAACUCAAACAGAUUGCUGCCGGCAACUAAGCACAAAUC